rnacentral:rRNA from 1 species
GAUUAGCCAUGCAAGUGUAAGUAUAAAUUAGUUUAUGGUGAAACCGCAAAUGGCUCAUUACAACGGUUAUGGUUUACUUGAGUGCUCCGAUGGAUAUUUCCAGCAACUCUAGAGCUAAUACAUGCAACAGCGUUUAUUAGUUUCACGCAGUAUCUGUCGCUGAGUCAUGAUAAACAGUUGAUCGAAUCGACAACUCAAAAAGGUUUCCGCCCCAUCAGCCCCGAUGGUUGGGUCUUGGCCUACCAUAGCAUCUACGGGUAACGAGGAAUUAGGGUUUGAUUUCGGAGAGGGAGCCUGAGAAACGGCUACCACAUCUACGGAUGGCAGCAGGCGCGCAAAUUACCCAAUGCAGACAUUGUGAGGUAGUGACGAGAUAUAAUAAAGCUUAUACAUCGUAUUUGCUGUAUCAUGGGGACAAAUUAAAGGUCUUUCCGAGGAACAACUGAAGGGAAAGUCUGGUGCCAGCAGCCGCGGUAACACCAGCUUCAGUAGCAUAUAUUAACAUUGUUGCAGUUAAAACGUUCGUAGUUUGUACAUCGUCUUUGACAUCACCACAAGACUUCCUGAUCUUAAUUGGUUUGGUAGUUUUUUGUGGUUGCUCCCUUGAUCAAAUUAGAUUGUUCAAGGAAAACUGAGUUUUGAUAAUAUUGCAUGGAAUUGAGUGAUGAAGCUAUCGAGGUUUUGGCUUCUCGUUUUAGGGGCAUCUGGGGUCAUUCGUACUUGGUCGCGAGAGGUGAAAUUUUUGGACCGGUCAAAGACGAACAGUAGCGAAAGCAUCUGUCAAGGAUGUUUUCUGUGACAAAGAACGAAGGUCAGGGUACCGAAGACGAUUAGAUACCGUCGUAGUCCUGACUGUAAACUAUGCCGACUAGAGUCUUGUAAAAGCGUAAGCACUAUGAGACUCCAACAGAAAUGAAAGUGUAUGGGUUCCGGGGGUAGUAUGGACUCAAGUCUGAAACUUGAAGGAAUUGACGGAAGAGCACCAUCAGACGUGGAGCUUGCGGCUCAAUUUGACUCAACGCGGGAAAACUUACCAGGUCCAAACGUGGGCGUGAUUGACAGGCUAACGACCUUUCUCGAUUCUUCGGUUGGUGGUGCAUGGUCGCACUUAGUUGGUGCAGUGAUUUGUCAGGUUUAUUCCGGUAACGAACGAGACCUCGGCCUUCUAACUAGAUUUCUUCUUAGAGGGACUGUAACGGCUACGUUAACGAAGUUCGAGGCAAUUGCAGAUCUGGAAUGCCCUUAGAUGUCCUGGGUCGCACGCGUGCUACAUUGACAUCGUAAGCAAGUUACUGUGAUGAAAUUCAUGGUAAAUCAUUAAUAGAUGUCUUCUGGAACAGUCUCUUGUAACUAUGGGACUCGAACUAGGAAUGUCUCGUAAGCACAAGUCAACAU